rnacentral:rRNA from 1 species
UAAGCCUGUGAAGGUGUGUCGUGAGGCAUGCUGGAGGUAUCAGAAGUGCGAAUGCUGACAUAAGUAACGAUAAAGCGGGUGAAAAGCCCGCUCGCCGGAAGACCAAGGGUUCCUGUCCAACGUUAAUCGGGGCAGGGUGAGUCGACCCCUAAGGCGAGGCCGAAAGGCGUAGUCGAUGGGAAACGGGUUAAUAUUCCCGUACUUGGUGUUACUGCGAAGGGGGGACGGAGAAGGCUAUGUUGGCCGGGCGACGGUUGUCCCGGUUUAAGCGUGUAGGUGUGUGUUCCAGGUAAAUCCGGUUCACUUUAACACUGAGGCGUGACGACGAGGCACUACGGUGCUGAAGCAACAAAUGCCCUGCUUCCAGGAAAAGCCUCUAAGCAUCAGGUAACAUCAAAUCGUACCCCAAACCGACACAGGUGGUCAGGUAGAGAAUACCAAGGCGCUUGAGAGAACUCGGGUGAAGGAACUAGGCAAAAUGGUGCCGUAACUUCGGGAGAAGGCACGCUGACACGUAGGUGAAGUGAUUUACUCAUGGAGCUGAAGUCAGUCGAAGAUACCAGCUGGCUGCAACUGUUUAUUAAAAACACAGCACUGUGCAAACACGAAAGUGGACGUAUACGGUGUGACGCCUGCCCGGUGCCGGAAGGUUAAUUGAUGGGGUCAGCGCAAGCGAAGCUCCUGAUCGAAGCCCCGGUAAACGGCGGCCGUAACUAUAACGGUCCUAAGGUAGCGAAAUUCCUUGUCGGGUAAGUUCCGACCUGCACGAAUGGCGUAAUGAUGGCCAGGCUGUCUCCACCCGAGACUCAGUGAAAUUGAACUCGCUGUGAAGAUGCAGUGUACCCGCGGCAAGACGGAAAGACCCCGUGAACCUUUACUAUAGCUUGACACUGAACAUUGAGCCUUGAUGUGUAGGAUAGGUGGGAGGCUUUGAAGUGUGGACGCCAGUCUGCAUGGAGCCGACCUUGAAAUACCACCCUUUAAUGUUUGAUGUUCUAACGUGGACCCGUGAUCCGGGUUGCGGACAGUGUCUGGUGGGUAGUUUGACUGGGGCGGUCUCCUCCUAAAGAGUAACGGAGGAGCACGAAGGUUGGCUAAUCCUGGUCGGACAUCAGGAGGUUAGUGCAAUGGCAUAAG